GGCUCAGGAUGAACGCUAGCUACAGGCUUAACACAUGCAAGUCGAGGGGCAGCAUUUUAGUUUGCUUGCAAACUGAAGAUGGCGACCGGCGCACGGGUGAGUAACACGUAUCCAACCUGCCGAUAACUCCGGAAUAGCCUUUCGAAAGAAAGAUUAAUACCGGAUAGCAUACGAAUAUCGCAUGAUAUUUUUAUUAAAGAAUUUCGGUUAUCGAUGGGGAUGCGUUCCAUUAGUUUGUUGGCGGGGUAACGGCCCACCAAGACUACGAUGGAUAGGGGUUCUGAGAGGAAGGUCCCCCACAUUGGAACUGAGACACGGUCCAAACUCCUACGGGAGGCAGCAGUGAGGAAUAUUGGUCAAUGGGCGAGAGCCUGAACCAGCCAAGUAGCGUGAAGGAUGAAGGCUCUAUGGGUCGUAAACUUCUUUUAUAUGGGAAUAAAGUUUUCCACGUGUGGAAUUUUGUAUGUACCAUAUGAAUAAGGAUCGGCUAACUCCGUGCCAGCAGCCGCGGUAAUACGGAGGAUCCGAGCGUUAUCCGGAUUUAUUGGGUUUAAAGGGAGCGUAGGUGGAUUGUUAAGUCAGUUGUGAAAGUUUGCGGCUCAACCGUAAAAUUGCAGUUGAAACUGGCAGUCUUGAGUACAGUAGAGGUGGGCGGAAUUCGUGGUGUAGCGGUGAAAUGCUUAGAUAUCACGAAGAACUCCGAUUGCGAAGGCAGCUCACUAGACUGUCACUGACACUGAUGCUCGGAAGUGUGGGUAUCAAACAGGAUUAGAUACCCUGGUAGUCCACACAGUAAACGAUGAAUACUCGCUGUUUGCGAUAUACAGUAAGCGGCCAAGCGAAAGCAUUAAGUAUUCCACCUGGGGAGUACGCCGGCAACGGUGAAACUCAAAGGAAUUGACGGGGGCCCGCACAAGCGGAGGAACAUGUGGUUUAAUUCGAUGAUACGCGAGGAACCUUACCCGGGCUUAAAUUGCAACAGAAUAUAUUGGAAACAGUAUAGCCGUAAGGCUGUUGUGAAGGUGCUGCAUGGUUGUCGUCAGCUCGUGCCGUGAGGUGUCGGCUUAAGUGCCAUAACGAGCGCAACCCUUAUCUUUAGUUACUAACAGGUCAUGCUGAGGACUCUAGAGAGACUGCCGUCGUAAGAUGUGAGGAAGGUGGGGAUGACGUCAAAUCAGCACGGCCCUUACGUCCGGGGCUACACACGUGUUACAAUGGGGGGUACAGAAGGCGGCUACCUGGUGACAGGAUGCUAAUCCCAAAAACCCCUCUCAGUUCGGAUCGAAGUCUGCAACCCGACUUCGUGAAGCUGGAUUCGCUAGUAAUCGCGCAUCAGCCAUGGCGCGGUGAAUACGUUCCCGGGCCUUGUACACACCGCCCGUCAAGCCAUGAAAGCCGGGGGUACCUGAAGUACGUAACCGCAAGGAGCGUCCUAGGGUAAAACUGGUAA
rnacentral:rRNA from 1 species